AUGACUAAAUGGAAGCCAGUGUCAACGGAUCAAACCUGGAACAUGAGAGAUCCGGUUUCAAGUCCUGUCUCUGCUGCAGACCUGCUACAUAUAGAGAUAAAAUACUUCGAGAAUGCAACUGCUAGUGUGUACUGCAAAGGAGUAAAAAGGAAGAAAAGAAGAAGAAAAGAAGAAGAAGAAGAAGAAGAAGAAGAAGAAGAAGAAGAAGAAGAAGAAAAGGUAGCCUAAACCAGGAACUACCUUACAGAGCAGAAAUCUUGUCCUGUUUCAGUGGAAGUUUUUUGCUUCACAAACUUUAAUGAGUUAUCCUCACUGCUCUUGUGAGGAAGGAAGGAUUAUCCUUUGUCUUACACUGGAAAAUUAUAGACUGUAAAGCACAAGCAUUGCAGUAAAUUUAGUGAUUUUUAAGUGUUCAAGUUUCUGACUGCUCAAUUCCAUGCUUAGUUUCCAGGAAUGUUGUAUUUUUUGCAGCUCAUCUUCAUUAGGCAUUAUCUUCCUAAAUAUACCAAAUAACUCAUUCUUUUUCACUGAACUAGGAAUCUUGAUUUAAAAAGCCUUACAAAGUAUAAUUUCAACAAUAUAUAACUAACAUAUCGAUAAGUAACUCACAUAGUCCCUUCUACAUCUGUUUGACCACAGACCAAGAAAGAACGAACUGCUUUGUCUAAUGUUGUUUUACUUUUGUGGGCUAAUAAUGUCCUAAUAAUGUCCACAUUGUUCUUUUAGAGAUGCAUUCUUCCCCCAGGCAGUUGAGUUGGAACUGGAGUAAUGUCUAUAACCGUAUAGCAUCCAGCCUUAUUUGUAAUAUUUUACUCAUACCUGUGCACACAUUCCUCAGCUACUAGCAUACAAAAGAAAAUAUGUCAAAUCUCUUUGAUCUCAGCUGUAUGCCAUUACAAAUAGAAGCAUUCAGUCAUUAAGCUCUACAUCCCCCACACUGAGAAGAGUAUUAGAACUGACCCAGGCAAGUAGAAAGCUCACAUUAUUUUAUGGAAAAAGUGCACUAGUUAGGCUGUUAGUGAACUACAAUAAAACUUAACAAUAAGGAAAUAAAAAUCA
rnacentral:lncRNA from 1 species